UACCCGCAGAAGAAGCACCGGCUAACUCCGUGCCAGCAGCCGCGGUAAUACGGAGGGUGCAAGCGUUAAUCGGAAUUACUGGGCGUAAAGCGCACGCAGGCGGUCUGUUAAGUCAGAUGUGAAAUCCCCGGGCUUAACCUGGGAACUGCAUUUGAAACUGGCAGGCUUGAGUCUCGUAGAGGGGGGUAGAAUUCCAGGUGUAGCGGUGAAAUGCGUAGAGAUCUGGAGGAAUACCGGUGGCGAAGGCGGCCCCCUGGACGAAGACUGACGCUCAGGUGCGAAAGCGUGGGGAGCAAACAG
rnacentral:rRNA from 1 species